rnacentral:lncRNA from 1 species
AUUAAUUAAAUUUGUUAGUUAAAAUUAAUUAAAAGUUUGAAUAAUGAAUAAAUAACAAAUGAAGUGGGAGGAGAGAUGAAGUAUCAUCUUCUUCUCCCCUAAGCCAUAGAAACCAAAGAAAAGAAAACAAAAAAUGAAAGCUUUAAGUUAUUAAGCGUUUAGCCAUUCAAUUUCAACUAAAGACAACGUCAUGUCAUCAAAAAUGAAAGGAAAGACGAGAAUUGACGACGUGUGAUGUGAGUUGUCGGUUUGUAUUUCUAUGAUUCAUGAUUAAUAUAAUUAUUUUAUAUUCAUGUUAAAUUGCAUAAAUUGGUAAAAAGGUGAGUAUAUAAUGGUUGUACGGAUUAAUUUAUGGUGAUUGAUAUGGUAUAGCGAGAUAGAGGACUAAAUUGAAUAAAAUAGAAAGUAGCAAGAUUUAAUUGAUAUGUGAUAAUUGGUAUGAAAUUGCAUUGAAACAUGUUAUAUGAUGUGUUGGAAUGGUGAACUGAUGAUGAUUUGAAACAUGUUAUAUGAAUUGAACUAUGUGAUGAAAUCGAAAAAUUGGUUACCCUAUUAAUUGUUCGGGUAGAAUCGGAUAUAGUUAGCAUGCUAUAAGAUUAGAUUGUGUGUGGGUUUAUAUUUCGGUUUAGCCAAUGAUACACUUAUGUACCGAUAUAUUUACUUCAAUUUAUCCCAUGAUACACUAUAUGUGUCUAUAUGAUUGCUUCGAUUUAUCUGAUGAUGCACUAUGUGUGCCAGUAUAUUUUUUUCGGUUUCUUCGAUGAUGCAUUAAGGCGCCAGAUUGGUGUGUUGGUUGAUUAAUCUGAGUAUCCAUCUUUAGUUCAAUUUCGGUUAAUAGGGAAUGUAAAAUAUGAAUUGGAUGAAUGAUAUUAAUUAAUUGAAUUGAUAAUACAAUUUGGUAUUAUAAAAGAAAAAUUGAUUGGCUAUAUGGUAAUUGAUAUGAAAUGUGAUUGGAUUUGGUAUAUUGAAUACAUAUGAGUUGUGAUAUACGAUAGCAUAUGAAUAAUCACACGAAUCGGUUUAUAUAAGCCUUAAGGGCCGAAUUGAAAUUGAACGAGUCAAUAGACUCGAGAAAAAGAAUUGAAUUAACGAAUGACUAAAUAACAUCGGAUGAAAAGUGAGAUUGAAUGUCAUAUUAAUGCUAUAUGAGUAUAUGUAAAUGAAAAUGGAUUGGUUGCAUCUUAUUUUAGAAUGCACGAUAUCACAUGUUUAGUUUGAUUAUUCAUUAGAAUGGUGUAUAAGAAUGAAAUUUGAGUAUUCAAUUUGCAAAUUGAUUUAGUUGAAUUGUAGCAUAUUUGAAUUAAAUUCUUAUAUUGAAUAGGUUCAUUUUAUGACUUGAAUCAUGGAAAUACCACUGGUCUUUACUACUCAGUGUACAAUUUGUUUUCUCCUUGAGCAGGUUUAGGUUAAUCACGAGGUCUUGAGAAAUGAAUCCAACAUCCAGCCAAAGUUCCUUGGCUUAAUAAAGUUUGCAAAAUCUUGUUUUUGUUUAAAGUAUGGCAUGUAUCUAGGUUGAGUCUGUUUUUGGUUUAAUAAGUGAUCAUGUUUAUAUUAAGCUUGAAAUGGUAACUUGGAAAUGGUCAAAUGGUGGAUCUGUAUAUGUGAAUAUGGUAUUUGUUUUGGAUUGUACAAAAGGUUGCAAUAUUAAAACUUAUAUAUAUGAAUGUAUAUGUUAACAUGAAAAAUCAAUGGUA